CGCGGGCGGAGGCUUCCGGGGCUGGGGGCGGUGCCACGUGCAGUGCCGGCGGCGCACGGCAGAGGGCGUAGAGGAGCUACCGCCGCCCUCCCGGAUCCCCACGGCGCGGUCCGCGACGCCCGCCCUGCCGCCGCCUGGCCGAAGCCUCUCCAAGGCCAAGGCCACCCUCGGCCCCGCCCCGCCGCAACCGCCGCCCCGGAGUGUCGGUCGAAGAUCACCCUAGGCCCACGCCCUCUGCCCGCCCCGGACGCGCCACCCCCUUCCUGGGCCUCCCUCCCUCCUUCCGCUCCAGUCGGUGUCAGGAAACUACUCUGUGCCCAGCCUUUGGAGAGGAAUGACCCCUGCCCUUAAGUACUUACCAUUCAGUCAUAAAAAACAGGAACUGGUCAGCCCCACAUUUCUCCCUGGAGCUCUGAGAGUCUUCCAGAAAAAGUUCCUGAGGAGAGCUCACUGCUGGAGGUCUUGGUCUCUCACACCCUUGGAGCUCAUCUACCCAAGUGAGGCUGAGUGCCCUCCGCCAGUGCAGACAGACCCAGUCCGUGUUGAUGCAAAACCAGGUCUCUGUGACCAAGAGGAAAAGACCAAGGAGUCCUGGAGAUGACCUAGUUCACAGGCUCUCUCUCUUUGUUCAUGCUCCUGUUUCGGCCAGUUCGUAUGAAGAAAAUGAGGCCCAGGAUGGACCUUGUUCUAUCUGGAAAAAGACAGAAAAGGGACCUUAGGACUGGAAAGGCAACUAUAGGAGCAGCACCCCCUGGUGGCGUUGGGGACCCAAGCUUGAGGCAAAACUCACUCAAGGACAGCAGAGCAGAGGGAAUGGAGUCCUUGAGCUGCUGCAUCCAACCUCCCAAACCUGCCAUCCUACUGAACUUCUGCUAUGAGAGUAA
rnacentral:lncRNA from 1 species